rnacentral:rRNA from 1 species
CACGUAGGAGGCAAACGUUAUCCGGAUUUAUUGGGCGUAAAGCGCGUGUAGGUGGUUCUGUAAGUAGGGCGUGAAAGCUCCUGGCUCAACCGGGAGAGGCCGUUCUAUACUGCAGAGCUAGAGGAUGGUAGAGGGAGGUGGAAUUCCAGGUGUAGCGGUGGAAUGCGCAGAUAUCUGGAGGAACACCAGUGGCGAAGGCGGCCUCCUGGACCAUUCCUGACACUCAGACGCGAAAGCUAGGGUAGCAAACGGGAUUAGAUACCCGGGUAGU